rnacentral:rRNA from 1 species
UACGUAGGUGGCAAGCGUUGUCCGGAUUUACUGGGUGUAAAGGGCGUGCAGCCGGGCCGACAAGUCAGAUGUGAAAUCCGCGGGCUUAACCCGCGAACUGCAUUUGAAACUAUAGGUCUUGAGUGCCGGAGAGGUAAUCGGAAUUCCUUGUGUAGCGGUGAAAUGCGUAGAUAUACGGAGGAACACCAGUGGCGAAGGCGGCCUGCUGGACAAUAACUGACGCUGAGGCGCGAAAGCGUGGGGAGCAAACAGG